CAGUCGCCACGGUAAUACGUAGGUGGCAAGCGUUGUCCGGAAUUAUUGGGCGUAAAGGGCUCGCAGGCGGUUUCUUAAGUCUGAUGUGAAAGCCCCCGGCUCAACCGGGGAGGGUCAUUGGAAACUGGGAAACUUGAGUGCAGAGGAGGAGAGUGGAAUUCCACGUGUAGCGGUGAAAUGCGUAGAGAUGUGGAGGAACACCAGUGGCGAAGGCGACUCUCUGGUCUGUAACUGACGCUGAGGAGCGAAAGCGUGGGGAGCGAACGGGAUUAGAUACCCCUGUAGUCCCUGUCUCUUAUAC
rnacentral:rRNA from 1 species